rnacentral:rRNA from 1 species
CACUAUGCCUAGCCUUAAACAAAAAUGCAACCCGCAUUCGCCUGGGGACAACGAGCUCCCACUUCAAUGAAGCUUAAAACCCAAAGGACUUGGCGGUGCUUUAAACCCCCCUAGAGGAGCCUGUUUUAGAAUCGACACCCCCCGAUCAACCUCACCUUCUUUCGUCCUCCCAGCUUAUAUACCACCGUCGCCAGCUCACCCUGUAAAGGGCAUAUAGUAAGCAAAAGCGGUUACCCCCCAAUACGUCAGGUCAAGGUGUAGCCAACAAGAAGGAUAAGAUGGGCUACAUUUACUGCCCCAGUAAACUACGGAACAUAAAUUGAAACAUUAAUGUGAAGGAGGAUUUAGUAGUAAGAUAAGAACAGAGUGCUCUUCUGAAAAAGGCUCUAAAGCGCGCACACACCGCCCGUCACCCUCCUCAAUAAAUCCCACUUCCAAUAAAUAAUAUAUCGCAUGAUUUAACAUACGAGGAGGCAAGUCGUAA